UACGUAGGGGGCUAGCGUUGUCCGGAAUCAUUGGGCGUAAAGGGCGCGUAGGCGGCACCGCAAGUCGACUGUGAAAUCUCCGGGCUUAACCCGGAAAGGUCAGCCGAUACUGCGGGGCUAGAGUGCAGAAGGGGCAACUGGAAUUCUUGGUGUAGCGGUGAAAUGCGUAGAUAUCAAGAGGAACACCUGCGGCGAAGGCGGGUUGCUGGGCUGACACUGACGCUGAUGCGCGAAAGCUAGGGGAGCGAACAGG
rnacentral:rRNA from 1 species